rnacentral:rRNA from 1 species
AGUGAACGCUGGCGGUAGGCCUAACACAUGCAAGUCGAACGGCAGCACAGUAAGAGCUUGCUCUUACGGGUGGCGAGUGGCGGACGGGUGAGGAAUACAUCGGAAUCUACUUUUUCGUGGGGGAUAACGUAGGGAAACUUACGCUAAUACCGCAUACGACCUACGGGUGAAAGCAGGGGAUCUUCGGACCUUGCGCGAUUGAAUGAGCCGAUGUCGGAUUAGCUAGUUGGCGGGGUAAAGGCCCACCAAGGCGACGAUCCGUAGCUGGUCUGAGAGGAUGAUCAGCCACACUGGAACUGAGACACGGUCCAGACUCCUACGGGAGGCAGCAGUGGGGAAUAUUGGGCAAUGGGCGCAAGCCUGAUCCAGCCAUACCGCGUGGGUGAAGAAGGUCUUCGGGUUGUAAAGCCCUUUUGUUGGGAAAGAAAAGCAGCAGGUUAAUACCCCGAUGUUCUGACGGUACCCAAAGAAUAAGCACCGGCUAACUUCGUG